rnacentral:rRNA from 1 species
AGAAAGUUGGAGCAAUCCAUGAGUAAAGUGGCGCACGGGUGAGUAACACGUGACUAACCUACCCUUGAGUGGGGGAUAACUGAGGGAAACCUUAGCUAAUACCGCAUAAUACCUACGGGUCAAAGGAGCAAUUCGCUCGAGGAGGGGGUCGCGGCCGAUUAGUUAGUUGGCGGGGUAAUGGCCCACCAAGACUAUGAUCGGUAUCCGGCCUGAGAGGGCGCACGGACACACUGGAACUGAAACACGGUCCAGACUCCUACGGGAGGCAGCAGUGGGGAAUUUUGCGCAAUGGGGGAAACCCUGACGCAGCAACGCCGCGUGGAGGAUGAAGUCCUUCGGGACGUAAACUCCUUUCGAUCGGGACGAUUAUGACGGUACCGGAAGAAGAAGCCCCGGCUAACUUCGUGCCAGCAGCCGCGGUAAUACGAGGGGGGCGAGCGUUGUUCGGAAUUAUUGGGCGUAAAGGGUGCGUAGGCGGUUUGGUAAGUCUUAUGUGAAAUCUAUGGGCUCAACUCAUAGUCUGCAUGAGAAACUGCCGGGCUUGAGUGUGGGAGAGGUGAGUGGAAUUCCUGGUGUAGCGGUGAAAUGCGUAGAUAUCAGGAGGAACACCUGUGGCGAAAGCGGCUCACUGGACCACAACUGACGCUGAUGCACGAAAGCUAGGGGAGCAAACAGGAUUAGAUACCCUGGUAGUCCUAGCCCUAAACGAUGACUGCUUGGGUGUGACGGGUACCCAAUCCCGCCGUGCCGU